rnacentral:rRNA from 1 species
CCUACGGGAGGCAGCAGUAGGGAAUUUUCCACAAUGGGCGAAAGCCUGAUGGAGCAAUACCGCGUGCAGGAUGAAGGCCUUCGGGUCGUAAACUGCUUUUAUGUGCGAAGAAUUUGACGGUAACACAUGAAUAAGGAUCGGCUAACUACGUGCCAGCAGCCGCGGUCAUACGUAGGAUCCAAGCGUUAAUCCGGAAUUACUGGGCGUAAAGAGUUGCGUAGGUGGCAUUAUAAGUGGAGCGUGAAAGCGUGCGGCUCAACCGCAUUAUUGCGUUCCAAACUGUGAAGCUUGAGUAUGGGAGAGGUAGAUGGAAAUUUCGUAGUGUAGGAGUGAAAUCCGUAGAUAUUAGAAGGAACACCGAUGG